GUGUACGUACGUUGUUACCGAGAGGGGGCAGGUUGGCAUAGCAACAGAGAAACAGUGUACAGGAAGCGUUGAGGAGGUAGCAGAUUGAGUAGGAAUGGAAAUUCAUUAUGAAGGUGACAGCCCGACUACAGGAAAAACUCUCUUUAAUGAACCGUGGUUGGACUCAUGUGCCAGUGAAACCUUACUACCUGGAUAUCCAUGGCAUAAAGUGUCAGAUAAAAUUGGAAAAAUGCUGGCAACACAAGUGAAGCCUUUUCUACAAGAUCCUGACAAAAGGCAAAUAAUAUAUAAGCAGCUUGGAAGAGAUUUUGUUCUUAAAUAUUUCAGUGAAUAUUCCUAUGUUUCGAGUCUACUGGGCCUUCCAGAUAUUAGUAAUGCAGCAAGUGCAAAAAUGGGGAAACAUAAAGCGGAAUGGCUUUGGGAUCAGUGUACAAAGGCAGCAGAACAGACAGGGUGCCUAAUAACAGAUGACAACUCUGCAGAACUUUCAGAAGAAAUGACCCAGUUUGUAAAUCAUACUUACAGUCUUGUUGAAAAAGCGAUCAACAUGUUUCUUGCUAAACAAGAAGAAAAAGAAAAGGAAAAUAGUUUAGAAACGAAAGAAGCAACAUGGAACUGGAAAGGAGUUUAUAGCAAGCGUCGCAAAUCUGUUGAAAGUAAAGACCUCCAUUUUACGCUAAAUAGACAAGCCACCUUUCAGAUUAAGGAAAAUAAUGCCAGUAAUGGAUUAGAGGUUUUAUCACCUCCUUUAAACUCUUCUGUAAGUGAUGCACUGGGAGGUGCAGUCUGUACUAUAAUAGGAAGAGACUCAGACAGCAUGGCAAUGGUGUGCAGCCGUCUAAGUGGAAGGCUGUUGCCAAAAACACUACGACGGUUCAUCUGGUUGAACAAGCUACUAAAAUCUCAAAACAUUAACAAAAACAGAGGACUCAAAUAUAUUGAGAAGGAGGAACGGGAGAAAUAUGGUAAAAUACUGGAACAUAGACUUUCUGAGUUAAAACUCAGAACUGCUACACGUUCUCCAAUUUCAGGUCUUAUAGAAAAUGCAGUGGUGGAGAAAUAUGAAAACACUACCAGCAUGCAUCAAUUUUCAAAGGAUGAACAAAUGAUUUUAGAAUCUAGCAAGUCAUUAAAUGUGCUGUAUGUUUAUAAUAGCACAUAUGAGCCUUACCACAUUCACUGGCUAUUUCCAUUACAAAUUGCAUUCAAGCAAACCUCAACUACAGCGGAGCAUCCAUAUGAAUUAUUUAUGUACUUGCAUCUCCUGAUUAAAAACAUAUUCCCCUCAUGGCUGGAGAUUUUCGCAAUGGCUGAACGAGUCAUAAGUGUUCUUAAAAAAGAGGAUAAGGAGCUGUUCACUCACCUUCAGGACAGUUUCCGAAGAAAUGUAACUUUCAACCCAAAAGAUUUUUUGGUGGAGCUGAUAACUCGAGAAAGAGAACAAGCUCUAAAGCUUUAUGCAGAAACUGAGGAACAUGAUCAUCUUUCAUCAUUACCAGAGGAACUGCUAGCAAGCCCAGUUAUCUUCCUUAGAAAAUGGAUGGGUGAGGGCUUUGUGAAUUCUGUGGACUUACCUGCAGUAUUGCUGAUUUGGGAUCAAUUAUUCAUGCAAGACUGGAAUCGCAAAGUCAUGGAGAAUUUCUGCUUAGCCAUUCUUUUGCUAUUGAAAGAUUCAUUUAUGACUGCAAAGGACUAUCCAGCAGUUAGACAGAUAUUUUUGAGUGGGGGAUACCACCUAUUUACCGUUGAUAUUCAGAGAGCAUGGAUUCAUUUACAGCAAGGUGGAUUACCUGCAGAUAUCCCAGGGAUGAAUCAUCGGAAUGCAUGGCAAUUGCAUGAUUUGUCUCCGAGGCAUCAAGCUGAAAUUAUUCGGAAUAUUUUGCCAGUAGGUGUUAAAGAUAUAAUAUUAAAUUUGAGGAUCCCGUUACAGAAUGCUGUACAGAAUGCUUCAAGUGGCGAAAAGACUUGGGUGAAUGAUUUUGAUCCUACUGCUGUGAAGCUGACAGCUUCUGUUUUUUAUGGUCAUAUAAAGCUACGUUCCAAAACUGGCUCUGUGAAGCCUCUUUUCCUGCAAAAAGUCAAGCAAAAUAAAGACACUAAACAGGACACAACCUCCUUCAUUUUACAGUUUAACGAUCUGUUCAGCUUUGAUUCUUUGGAUCCAUCAGACUACAUGGAUCAUACCGAAGGAAGUGCACAACCGUAUAUUUUAUUAAAAGCAGUUUACAGCACCGGAGAAAGAGAUUCAUUUACACUUGGAUGGGUUAAAAUUAAUGCAUUUGAACAUGAAACAAGCAGCAGUCAAGAAGUUUGGCGACCCAGAGAAUUUUCAGAUGUUUUCUUAUUGAGUCAUGAGCGAUAUACACAUUCUUUUGAUGAGGGUACUCCAGUUUCCAACACACAAGGUUCAAAUGAAUCCUCAAUUGAAUUUACUAUAUAUGAUCCUGCAAAAGAAAGUGCAAGGAAUACCAUGAGUAGAACAAAAAUCAGUGGUGAAGAGGAACAUAUAUCAUCAUUUGUUCCGUUCUGGGUUCCACAUAAUGGAUCAACUAUAUUGCCUUCUCCCACAACAGUAAAGCAGUCAUUUGAUUUAUAUAUUGAUGCUUUGCAUUAUGUCCCUGACAAUUCUACAGUAACCAAGGUUACUGGAAAAAUAAUAAAUUCUGGAAACAAAAAUAUGCCGCCAAUUGUUGCUCUUUCAGAUUUAAAUAGUUAUUGGAGAAAUCCGGAAUUUCAUUUCUGUCUGACAAUUAAUACCAAGGGUGAAAAGCUUAAUGUUGCCACUUCUAUGCUAUUUGAAGUAUCAACUGUGGAUUCAGACUCAGGGGCUUUGGCAAUAAUUGGAUAUUGUAUGCUGCGCGUGUUUAACAAUGAAGGGAAGCUCAAUGUUGGGGGAUAUCAGUUAAAACUAAGAACUGGCGUGCCAUUUAAGCAACUUUACUCACUCAAUCCAACAGCUUUCAGUCAGUAUACAGUUUUUCCUUGUUGUUCUUUGUUGAUUCGUCUACUACCACAUGCUGAGCAUCCAGUGCCUGCUCCCAGGUAUUCCGAGGGCUACUAUUUCACAGAGGAAGCACAACCUAAAAGGUCAGAACUGGCCAUAAUGUCCUCUUUCCAAAAGGAUGCAAACGUUCCAAAACUCAUGAAAGACAUGGCAGCACAUUUAGUGGAGAGAGAACAGAGCCAAGUUGCAGAAGCACAACUCAAAGACUGGUACAAACAAAGAGUCAGCGGUGAAAAACCUUCUUUGCAACAAGCAUCCCUGAAUUAUAUAAACAUUCACCAUGCAGCAAGAUACCGCCAAGAAAUUGGAAUACGUAUCAGAAUUAGUCAAGCAUUUGGGCUUGGAGCUGAGGGCCUCUAUAUAAAUGCCUUUGCAAGAGUUUUGAAGGGUGCUCAGAGCUUACAUUUACCACAGUUGCCACAAAAUUGGGGUGGAGAAGAAAAGUUUCUGACACGUUUACAUGAUUUUACAAGCCUUCAGGGAUCACCCAGGUGGAAGGAUCCAGCAGUGGUUCUGCAUCCUUAUCUUGACAGUCAUAGUGUGCUUCUUGUUCAAAUAUUUGGAAUGGAUGCUGUGUACGUUCCUAAUACAAUAAGUGGACAGCGGGGGCAUGUCAAAGGCCGAAAUGGAGGAGAUGUUGAACUGCAGCCAUUAAUUGGAUGGACUGUUUUCCCAGUGUUUAAUGGGUAAGACAUUAUAUAAGAAGUGGCAUCCACAGUUCACCAAUUUUUCAAGGUCAGCCAAACGCUGAAUUUCUUCAGUUACUUUCUACACAUUCAGUGAAAACAGCAAUGGAACAGGGCUUAAAGAAAAAGAAUUUAAAGCUUCUCUCAAGUUAUGGAUGUGUUACAAUGGAAAUGUGGGAUGGACAUUACACCGAUGAUGAACACUAUGCUUUGCCCGUUGUGAACGACCUCCUGACAGUUGGAAAUGUAAAGAAAUUCCUGGCCACACAGACUAACAAGAAAGGCAAAGACAUGUCUAUGCUAGCUUUGCAAAGCUUUGAUAACAAGAAGCAGAACCUGCAGCGGAAUAGCCAAGCAUAUCAGCAGCAUCAACAAUUUUAUGAAGAAGCAAUGGCAGAUAAAUUUUAUGAUCUUAUUGAGAUAGCCCUGCUGAAUGCUGGAUAUGGGCCUUUAUAAGCCAUCUGUUAAUGUUCUGCGGCAAUAGCUGGAAGACAAACCAGAGACCUCUUUUCCCAAAACUUCAUCAAAGAAGACAAAAAAAAGAAAAUUUUACUAAUAAUCGUAUUUAUAUUCAUGCGGACAAUGCAGGACUGGGCAACUUGUAGCCUUCCAUGUUUCGCUGUACUACAAUUCCCAACACCCUGACAGCUCCUAAUGGGAUUCCAAAUGUUGCAACAUCUGCAGAGCUGUGCCAAGAGAAGUGCCAAAGUGCAGAACUAUGGAACCUUAACCCUGAAUUCAGUAAUCAGGGCCUUAUUUCAUUGCUGUUUUCAUAAUAUUAUUAUUUAUUUCUGUUUAGUUUGCAUAUAUUUUAGUAAAGAAAAUCUCAGUUUAGUGUCUUUA